rnacentral:lncRNA from 1 species
CUGGCAUUCGUAUCAUCAAUGAAAGGAAGGAGGUGGUAGAGGAAAGAGGGGUUGGUCUCGAUCUCAAGUCUGAGAUGGUUCCACUCGAAAUCCUUUGAGUAGUAAUUUGCUGCUGCUUCUUGGCUCAUUCUUACAAUAGUGAUAGCAGUAUAUUUCCCUUUCUUUUCUUUUGUUGUCUUUUUUUUUUUUUUUUUUUUGUUUAAGAAAUGCUGAUUUCACUAUAAGAUUCCGGCGGCUGAAGGAGGAGGAGAAAGACGAGUUGGCUGUCGAUUCGAAAAGCGCUCCAUGGUUUUUGGGUUUCUUAAGCUGUAGACAGGACGAUGUCGUUUACACUAAGGUCGAGGUUGACGUCUGUUUGUGCUUAAUAAUUCCAUAAAAAUCAACAAAUUUGGGCAUCACAAUUUGCAAAAGUUUCUGGAACGACGCUCCUUAGUCCAUGCUAUGAUACUGCUACAAAAUUGCAUAACGGGUUUGUUGGCUUGCAAAAAUUUCCGUCAUGUAUUUAAAUUUGGUCCAAUAAAUUAGUAUUCAUAGAUUUGCAAAAAAACCAUGAAAUGCUUCUUUAUUUUUAGAGAUUUUAAAAUCUAUAUGCAAAAGCAAACAAUUUUAGCAAAAAUGGACUUGUGAAAAAAAAUAGACGAGAACAUUUAUAAAAUAUUUUGUAUAUCCAAAUUUAGAAUCUAAGAUACGGUAAAACAAUCAAAUUUAAGAAUAGGACCUUAGCAUGCAUAAAACUAAUCUGUGUAUAUAUAUAUAUAUAUAUAUAUGAAAGUAACUAUUUUAAUUAGUAUUUUUUUCACUUCUACAUUAUAUGCCUACUUAGAGAGAAUUAACGGGUUAUUCAUCACUUAGGUUUUACCUAUAUUUAAUCCUAUUUGGAUUAUAUUAUAUGUUUAAAAAUUAUCUCUAAUUUUAAAAUAACUUUAAAAAGUAAAUAAUCUUAUCAUAAUAAUAUCUGCUUUCUAUCAAAUUAUUACGUAGAACUAUAAUAAAAUCUUUUUCAAAUAACAAUUACUAAAAUCUUACAUAUCCCAUAAAUUAUUUUCUUUCAUCACCGGUUCGUUGAUUAUUGAUUAGUAUUCAAAUUAUUGAUUGUCUCUUUCCCUUAAUUUUGAAUUAAUUUACUGCAAAAAAAAGAAUUAACUGUAGCACUGACAAAUUUUGUCAAUAUUGUUGAAAAUUGAAUAGCUAUCUUGUGCCUAUCUCUAAUUUGGCAUUAUAUUAAGCCGCAACCAAUGGUGACAUGCGGUGUUGUAAUUGGGUUAACAUUUCAAAAUUACAUUCAGGCCCAAUCUUAUCGGCCCAGCCAGUACUAAUACGAAUCAUGCACAAUAAUUAAUACUGAUUUUUGUCCCAUAGAAUCAAUUGGUACAGCCAUUGAUAAUUGACCGUAAGGUCCCUGCAACCUUUUGCAGUAUCUUCCAUACCGGCCUCUGCAUUUAGACGUCAUGAGCUGCUUUUGUGAUUUUAAUGCUUCAGCGAAACUAGAAUGGGCGCUGAGACAAGAUUCUGUGUUUUGCAGAGGCCAUUAGUACCAUAAACCAAAAAUGCAAAUGUACGAACAUUUUAAUCCAAUGUAGAAGGAAACCAAGAAAAAAACACAAAGGAAAUGUUGCCCAGCUCAUUUUUUGAGCAAAGAAGUUUUAUCUAAUCAGACUUGAUCAUUGUUCUCCCGAAGCGUUACAUAUAUCAAGAAUUUCUCUGAGCUGACAGUGAAUAGAAUCAUGUAUCACAAACAUUUGCUUCAAAGGUCCUCACAGGAACCUAGAUCAUGAGCAAGCUGUGUAAGCUGCACUUGCAUAUUCUUCAAUUAGUCCACAACCUUUCCUUCCAUUUACAAACAUGACGGUUGUUCAUGUCUCACUUUAUUGAUGGAUGUCAACCAUCGUUGAUGCAAGGGCACUCAAAUGUAAUCCAGCCAAUAAUGUUCUCCCAUUGGUAAUUUAUAACUAAAUGGUUAGCAAAAUUCUAAUAGAAUGUUGGCCUAUAGAAUGUGUAAAUGCUAAGAUCUCUAAAUAUGGUUUCUUGAAUUAGUCCAGAGUGAACUAACCGAUGCAUCAUCUCUUUUGUCAUCUGAUGAUCUCUCAAAAACCAUCACCUGCUCGUUGCAGAACUCUUCGAAGCUCAUCAGCCAUUACUUGUAGAAGAACAGGUUUUCUAACAAGACCAUUCAUUCCCGCCUGCAGGCACCUUUCCAACAAAUGAUCCUCCGCACUUGCGGACAAGGCUAUAAUUAAUGGCCAGUUACGACUCCGAAACUUUCGUAUUCUUCUUGCCACUUCAAAGCCAUCUAUUUCAGGCAUGUGAAGAUCCAAAACUACAACUUGGAAUGUUGCUGCUGAGGGGCCUAGUGCGCUCAGGCACUGGAAACCAGAUGAAACUGCGGUAACUUGGCAACCUAGCUUCUCAAGCAGCUUUUUUGUCACCAUUCUAUUUAUAUCAUCAUCAUCAGCAAGAAUAACUUGAAGGCCUCUGAACAUUAAGCUAGAAAUUGGUUGCUCCAAUGGAUUUCCGAGCUCAAAUACAUGUCUUCUAAAAGAAGAUUGUUUCUGAAAUCUGAGAAUAAGAGUCAUGCUUCGUGCUUGGCCCCGAGAAUCAGAGGACAUCCAGAUAUUACCUUGCAUCAUCUGCAGAUGUUAAACCAGGAAUCAAUAUGAUGUCAAAAAACAAUUGUUGACAAGGAUGCCCAAACUAGACGAAGGAUUUAGACAAGGAUUCUGUCCUCCAAAGUGAUUGAUAGAAGACAUGAUUGGCCAAAACAAGUUUGGACAGCAAGUUUUAUACUCAUUCAGGAACAGAGAAACAUAGAUUGAGAUUAUUAUCCAAUGGACAUAAUCAGAAGUAAAAAUACAGAAAAUAAACCAAUAACGAAUAAGAUGCCAAAGAACAAUUCUUGAAAAGUACACCUAAACUAGAUGAAGGGUUGUGUCCUCCAAAGAAAUGUAUAGAAGACAUGAUUGGCCACAAUAGGUUUGGACAGCAAGUUUAAUGCUCAUUCAGGAAGAAAGAAACACAGGAUUUAGAUUAUUCCCCAAAGGACAUAAUCAGAAGUAAAAAUAAGGAAAAUAAACCAAUAACAAAUAAGAGGGGAAACUUUUGUAAGCUUAAAAAAAGCAUAAAUUAGCAGCUCCCAAAUGAAGGGCAGAACCUUUUAAACUUUGAAAAUGUUGUACAUCUAGAUUCUUGUACUAAACUGAAUAUAAGAAGUUUUAUCUUGCAACUAUGGAGUACGACAAACUUCUUUUGAUGAAAUACGUUUUCGCACUAAAAAAUGAUUUACAAACUAUCCCGCUUAGACUUUAAAGACGCUAGAAACUGAGUAUCUUAGCCUUUUCUAGGUAUUGACUGAAUACAAGAAGUGAUAUCUUGCAACUAUGGAGUACGACAAACUUCUUUUGAUGAAAUACGUCACAAAUUAUACCGCAUAGGCAUAGCUAAAAUGCCACCUCAGGUCCUCAAGUACCAUCAUGCUGGCCUUGAGCAAUCAGAGAAGAGUGCGUCAAAUUCAUGCACUGAAAGUAAAACAAGCCCAAAAAGUGUUUAUAAGUGCUUUAUAGCUAUUAUCCCAGAUAUCAAGCAUUUCACACUAAAAAAAUGAUUUACAAACUAUCCCACUCAGACUUUAAAGAUGCUAGAAACUGUGUAUCUUAGCCUUUUCUAGGUAUUGAAUACAUUGAUCACUAAACCAGCUCCAAAGGUUAGCAAGUAGCAGAAGUGGAUGAGCACCGGGAUGUUUGCGGUUAUAUAAAAUCCAAUUGCUAAAAAAAGGGCCAGUAUGAGAAUACCACAAGAGAAUUGAAAUCAUCCAGCUGAUGGAUUACAUGGACUUGCCAUGUUGCCAACAUUUACAAUCAGAAAAAUGCACCGCCAGGGCAAAUUGCUCAAGGUAAGCUAUAGAAGUUUGAAACAUGCCUCCAGAGGAAACACUUAGCAGCCAAGUAGCCUUUGUAGGUGGCUGAUCAACAGCAAUGCAUUGGGUAUUUUCUGAUUCCGCCAUCUCAUGGAGUUGGACUUCUUGGUGCAUUAAAUUUCAUCUUUGGUGAGGGACCAUUACACUUGGGACACGUCAAAAAAGUAACCAGCAUCAAAUUUUAUCUUUGGUUUUUCUAAGUAGCCGCACUAUUUCAAGUACUAUUAGCAACUUCUUGUAAUAUGCUUGUUGAAUAACAAUAGACCCCAAAACUUUCUCCUCUUCUUUGCAACUUUGACGGAUGGCUUUUAAGUCCUUGAUGUGAACCUAGAGUAUCUGACUAUAACUUAAACCAGGUGCUACAGCCCCAAAUGCCAUAUGCUUCAAAAAUAAGCAUAUUAAACCUAUCUCACAAGGAAUUUUAAUAAGUUCAACGGCAUUGAUGUCUUGAGGAAAAUUGAUCGUGUUAUUGGUAGGAGAAUGCACCCCCAAAACAAAUUCUCUUUUUGAUUGAGAAUGCCAGCACUUUGUACUGCACCCAAAUGUCCCAAUAAAGUUAUCCAACAUCUUAUUUGACAGCGUUUAAAUUUAUGAAACAAUUUGUACAUGUGAUAAAAUGAACAGCAUAGCAUGCAGUUAUAUAGCCAUGACACGUAUAUCUACUAUCCAACAAAUUAGGCACCAGGAAUACUUUAUGAGCUCGUAAGAUGCUAAUGUGACAAAAUUAAUGAAGAAAAGAAAUUCAGAAUUCGCACCUGCACAAGCUUUUUGCACAUACUGAAGCUCAAGCCCUCCUUUACUUCUUUGCUGUUAUGCCUUGUCCCACCAAAAUGAGUGGUAGCUAUUGAGCUAUCUGAUAGAGAACCUUCAACAUUAACUUCAAUUUCAAACUUUACAUUCACAUACUCAUCAGUUGUGCUUGGUCUCCUUGUAUCCCAAUAUCUAUCAGUCCUCUCCUGACUUCCGCUCUCAGUAUCAACCCUAAAAGUAACAGAGUCCCUUCCCUCAUUGACAUUCAACAGAUGCCCAAUCAUGUGCAGUAGAACCUGAAAUGCCCUCUUCUGAUCACCCAUCACCUGAUUAGGCAGAACAUUUGGAAUCUCCGUAGAGAAGCCAAAGUGCUUGUAAAGGCACAAGCACUUAACCAAACAAGAUGCUUCUCUUACCAUGGCAUGUAAUUUAAAGGGCAUGAUCUCUAAUGGGAAUCUUCCCUCAUCCUUGUCAGAUAUCUCCAUUGCAUCAUUUAUUAAUGUUGAGAGAACACUGCCGGAUUUUAUUAUAGUGUCAACCACAAUCCUCUGAUCGGGGCUCAAAUUGGCAUCUUGAAACAGAGAUAGUAAGCCCAGAAUUGAGUGCAUAGGCCGCCUCAUUCCGUUGCUCAUUACUUUCUGAAAUGAGUUCCUUGCCUGGCUUGCCAUCAUUGCAUUCUCCUUAGCUUUCUGGAGCACACGAUUUUGCUCUUCCAGUUUCUCUCUCAUUGACUGAGACUCCUCAAGAACUGAAGCAUGGGACAGAGCCACCGCCACCUGAUCAGCAACAACUUCAACUAUCUCCAUCUCAUUAUACAACCGAACCCUGUCAUUUGCACUUUGAAGAACCAAAACCAGUAUGGCGUAUCCAGUGUCAACAACCUCUGGUGUCCCCCCUUUGAAAUUUGAACAUAGAAGCACUGGCAUUCGAAUAGCUGCAACAGCACCUGGCUGACACCCUCCACAACUCGCAGCACCAAGUACUGAGUCUUGCCUCAAAAACAUCACUCCCUCAUUCUUUGUUAUCUCUAAUACAUCUGGUUCAUUAAUCGCAAGGGUGCGGCUAUAUUCUUCUGAAGGACCAGGACUCAACUGAUGGGUCAAAUUCAUCUCUGUUCUAUUCCCAUUAGGCAUCCAAACUGCACAAUUCUGCAGAUCCAAGGACUUUGAAAGCUCAACCAAAGUAGUGUACAAUAUUGUAUGCUUAUCGAGUGACUUCCUAAUUUCUUGGGUAAGCAUCCGGACAUGCCAACUAGCUUCUUUCUGUUUCUUCAUCAUCCCAACCUCUUGGCCUAGCUCCAUCACAUUUUGUGUUAAAAAUAAUUCUCUGACUUUAAAUUUGAGAAUAAUAGGGAUCAGAGUGAUAAGAGUGAUAGCAGUUGCACAAGAUACAAGAGCAGUAAGGAUUUUCGCAACUGUAAGAGCCAUCAUCAACUGGAAGGAGUGCCGACCAUAAUAAGUCCACGCAUUGAGCAAAUGGGUCAAUCCACAGAGGACAAUGAAAGCAAUGAAUUGAAGUAGAACCCAUUUGAAUGGUAUAUUUGAGCAGCUAAUAAAGUAAAGCAACUCGAUAGGAAUUGAAAAGUAAGCCACAGCAAUCAAGAAAUCACUCACUCUCUGGCAUUCUAGAAUGCUAGCUAUGCUCCAACCUCCAACAUCAUCGCAAUGACAAUGGGAAAAUUCGCCAUCAGUGGCUGACACGCUGAAGAUCAUAACUGCAACUAGAAGCCCAAGGACAAAAUCCCUUAAUCUUGAACCCAUAGCAGCCCCUUUUCAAUCCAUCUUUAUGACAAGUUUUCACCCUUUUCAAAAGCUUAAAUCAACUGAAGAUCAAGACAGAGGUGUCCUUGAAAUUAAACCCCAAACCCCAGUCCCAAAUAGCAAUUGCUUUCCUAAUAAACUAUAAUAAAUCAAAUCUCUCCAGCAUUUCUAGAUCUAAUAUGUCUAUGUGUCAAGAUCAAAAUAACCAAGUAAUCUUUGAGAGGUUAUAGCAGCCUCUCUCAGGUAACCAUCUCCUACGCUAUUUUUCAUAAUAUUUAAUUCCCACCUCAGUGUCAAUGCUCAAAUUCAGAAUCUGUAAGAAAGCAUCAAUCUUUUUCAUUAAACACUCCCCGUUUCAAAGGAUGUAGCACGAAAAGCAUAAGAACCAAGACAAUAGAAUGCAGGCCUAAAGAACCGGGAUCAAAAUCCAGUCAAGGCUCCAAUAAAGCUGAAGGGAGUUGCACUUGGUGAAAACAAAAAUGAACCUGAGGGAGUAGGAAACACCUUCUUGCUUGAGAAAUCCAGCAUCAAAUCAACCUUCUACAAGCAACAGCUAAGCCCAAAAAAUUUCUGUAUCGUACCAAUAUUCCACUACCCAAAAAAAUAAUAAUAACAAGACUUCUUUUGCAUGAAGAAAGAAUCACAGCUUGUGAAACCGGUGUUGAUAUUAGCAAACAAAAAAUUGACACCUACCCAAUAGGAUAGGACAUCCCACUUGGACUAAAACGAUUAGAAAACUAAUAAAACCAUUAGUCAAUCAGCAAGAACUGUUCAAAGUAUGACGUUGGAUUGAACCCCACUUGAAAAAUCUGUAGAAACUUUAGCUCACUGGACGCGGGAAGGUCCAGUAAGUGAAUUGACCUGCAUGUAUUCCCUCAGGUUAGCACUACUAGUUUUGGCACUGAAUAUAUUAAAUUAAAUCCAGGAUUUAAUAUGUGCAUAUGAGAGGCGUACUAAGUAAGGUGAAGGCACAAGUGGUGAGAGAUUAAUAUAAAUAAUUUUGUAGAAUAUCCAUACACUUGUGUUUAUUAAUUUAUGGACAAUGGAGGAUCUUCAAAUCUUGAAUUGGGUGUAAAUAAGGAGAGGACGACAGGAAGAUUAUAAAAAAAAAAAAAUUGAGACGCUUGGCAUGCUUUUAUUUACCCCCUUAACUUUUUCAAAAUUUCAGUCAGGACUGGUUGAAAUUUUUUGUUUCUUAAAUUAGACCAACAGACUUUGAUCUUAGGCACCAGCGCCAAGUGCAUGGUUGCAAUUGCCUUGUAUUUAUAAAUGUACCUUUUGUCAAAAGUUUUUAGUUUUUCCUUUGGUGGACUUCUCCAUCUUUUGGUUUUUGAAUUUUGAUUUUCAAUUGGUUGAGAGCUUAAGAAAUAAAAGAACGUACUUAAAUAGUACUAAAAUUCACAGUUCUAUACCUUUUUUUUUUAAAAAAAAAAGAACAAAUUUAUAUUUUUCUCUGUUAAGAUUGGCAUAUGCAAGAUUAAUUAAAUAAUUUCAUAUCCUCUUUACCUUUCUCACUCAUGGACGAUUUUAGGGAAAAAAUAAUCCUUCUCAUUCCCUUCCUUUUCAUGUAUCAAAAUUUUAGUGAUCAGAUAAUUAGUUUAUAAUUUUUAUUUGCCAUCUUAAAGAAUUUGCAAUCAUUUUGAGAAUACAAUGACCAAUUAAUUAGGUCACCGACGACCAAAUUAUAGGCAAAAAAUGUAACUGCAGUUAUUUAGUUUUGCAUAUAGUUAUUUGAAACUUGACUUUUAAGGAUUUACUCAAUAUUGAAUAGUACGCUAAUCAAAUCUAAACUUGAAAAAAGAUGGUUUGUUUGGAUUGAGCAUUAUUUCUCCAAUUUUAUUUGCUUACAUCAUCAUUACAAUUUCCAAUACACCUUUUUAUCUUCCCAAUUACCUUUUCAUCUCACAUACAUCAAGUCACAAAAAGUGCUACAGUAAAAAUAUCCCAAAUAUUUAUCUUGGUCAGCCUAUCAAACUCAAAUCAAUCCUACUUUUGUAGUUUGAUAGUCAAGUUGCGCGAUUUUAGUUAGAUCAUAUUUAUAUAAAAAUCCUAUCUAAGAUAUUAUCGGUAAUUUUGUCAAAAUAAUAUAUCUAAACUAGAACAACAUAAUUUGGAGUCUCGUAUUAGCUUGCCUUGCAUGCAAAUUAAAAGGAAAAAAAGUGACAUUUUAUAUUUCAAUUUUUUUUGUUUCCUUUUUUUCAUAGUUGAACGAAAUUCCUGUCUUGUAUCAUUUGGUAAAAAUUCAAUCAAAUGGUCGUCAUCCCGUGUUUUUCUUACCUAAACACCUUAACUUUCUUUUCCUUCUUUUGAACCAUACCAAACAUAAUUAAACAUGAAUUGGUCUAUAGUAAAGUCGCGUGUAAUUUAAGUUUCACUAAUAUGGGAAAAAAAAAGUUACGGUGUUUCAUGGCAAUUGCACAAUAAUGGGCAAAUGAAAGGCCUUGCCCCUUUGGCCUUUUAGGAGUAUGAAAAAAGAGCGGGCCCUCCUCCCGCAUAUAGAAUGAGUACACGACUGUCUCUGCGUGUACAAGGUGAGGAGAACCUAGACGCAUUCAAUCUCCCCAUCCACGUCACCUCCUUUAUUAAUUUCUUAAAGGUCGAAAAAGGCUAUACCAAACACCAGCCUACCAGCCACCACAUAACUUGGUUCUACAAAAAAAAAAAAAGUGAUUUGUUUCAAAAAAAUUCCAGCCUGCCAGCCACCACAUAACUUGGUUCUACAAAAAAAAAAAAGUGAUUUGUUUCAAAAAAAUUUAUACGAAUGUGUUUUGCAUCCGUUUAGUUCGGUGAUGAUUCAAUUCCCUUCGAAUUAUUUCCGAGUCUCAUAAGGUACGCCCUCUCUAGAAUAGAUUAGAUUAUACAAUAGUUUUCAUGUUCGGAAAAAAAAAAAAAAAAAAAGGGCUAUACCAACUACCCUUCUAGCCCAUGAGACUAUCAACAAUAUCCAAUAGAAUGGCAAAUACUACUGAUAAGAAAUUUAGAAAAGGCCACCCUCAAAAAAUUUUUUUUUUUUUUUUUAAAAUCUACGUGCUUCUCACGUGCUUGUCAGCCUUCUUAGUCAUCCCACCGGCCAUUGCUCACCGUCAAUAAUCAUGGAGGUGGAGCCCUCAUCGUGUGGUGCAAAGCCGAAGGAUGGAGUCAGGCGCAGAAAGUGUUAUGGUGAUGAUGACGGUCUAAUUUUCGUUCUUCAUUCUUGAAUCUUGAUCAUGAAGCAAAACUGAAGGUAGGCAACGCUAGCUAGCACUAGAUGAACUGCCAAGCACCACGUGCCAACCAAGAAACAUCAAUGAAUCUUCCUUCAUCGGGCUUUCGAUAUCGCGAGCUCUAUAUUGAUUUUUAUUACAAAUGAAUCAUUGAUGUAUUCAUUAGUAGUGAUUAAGACUAAUUUUGUGCAUGGUAAUAGUUUCCAAAAGACGAUAGCGUGGAUUCGAUGGAAAAAGAUUGAAGAGUUUAUCUUUAUCUAACGACUGUGUUAAGAUAGAGUUCAAGUGUUAAGUGCAUAUAUAUAUAUAUAUAUGGUGUGUGUAUGUAACUAUGUAUGAUAAGUUACGUGUAAAUAAAGUAAAUGCACGACUGAGUGUUUAGAAAAAUUAAACACUCCUUGAGUUAAUUGGCUUCAAUGCUAGCCGAUAGUGCUAAAUUCAGGUGGUGGCACUGACACAUGUGAUUGUUUGAGCAUAUGAAGCUCUGGAUAAUGGAUGGUAUUUCUUCAUUUGGCUUCAAAAGUGCUUUUGAACUUUCUCAGCUCAGUUGCAUCAAGAUAGUGGACCGGUGCUGAUCGAACUUUCUCAGCUCAGUUGCUAUUGAAUUAGUUCUAAAUUUCUCGGUUCAUCUCAUAUACGUCAAAUUGAUACUACGUAUUUAUUUCGUGGAGUGCGUUUUAGUUCUUUACUUUGAUUAUUUAAUAUAUAGUCAAUUGAACAACGUGGAAGACCAUCAUCAUUUUCAAGACAAAAAAUAUAUAUAUAUAUAUGAAAGAUUUUAUUUUACCAGCCACAUCCUAGGAAAGGGCAAAGCAAUUUGUGUCUGCCAUUCAACUCGGCAGGCUUUAAAUGGGAUGUGGUACUGAUAACAAUAGGCCCCCUGUGAAACGAUGCCUGCCGGCACAACAUGCUUCUGAGAACAGCAUGAGAAAAUCUCUGAAAACUACAGGGGAGCAAAAGAACAUGUAUCAUAUAGAAGUAUAAAGCUUUGCUAUUUGGGGAUUCUGCAAGCCAGGAUUCGCUAACUUUUCUACUGCUUAAAGAAGAGCAUUGAAAGAGAGAGAGAGAGUGCAGGUACAAAACUUCUUAAGGUACAUAAAUACGUGAAAAAGUAUCAGUCACCAAAGAUGAAGAUGUUCGUAACCAUUAGCCUGUACAUUAUCAUUGUCAUACUUAACUAACUCGAGAUGGCACAAAGAGUCUCUACCGUCCCGUCCUAAAAGAAUCUGCCAUACAGAAACAUAUAUGCAAGGACAGCAGUUCUCAAAUAGGUACUCUAAUCUGGGUAGUUGCCAUUUUCUGGAGACUGCUGCACACUCUGACCUGGAUGACCGCUCCAUUCCAUCGCCUGUGAAGGUGCUUGUGUGCUCCGAGGCUGCGGCUGAAUCAUAAAUUGACUGCCACCAAUAUUUUGGUAAGAAGAAUCAAUUGGGGACCAGAAGCUUACACCGGAAAAUGAUGCCCCACCAAUUGGUGACGGCGACUUACCAGCAGAAGUGUCACCUUUCAAACCACCAGUAAUAUCCUUUUUGGGGUCGAUUACAAAUGUCCCAACAAUAAUCUGUUCAAUUAAGAAACUGGUAAGCAGCUGAAUAAAGUACACUCCACUCCAUAUGCUGAAAUGAAGGUAGACGCUGCCUCUGAUAACAGGAAAUAAGGGAUCCAUAAUAAUCAUGCACCAAAUAGAGGCGAUGUGUAAUAAUCCCUUAUUUCAAAUUCUACAUGCUAUUUUAGUUGCUAAGUAUACACAUCUAAACAUAUCAUUCUACGACACGAACAUUUGGUACCUUUUACUACUAAAAGGAAAAGAACAAUUCAGGAGAACAGAAUUAAUCAUAUUUGUCCACCUUUGCAUGUCAUAAAGGAGAAGUUGAGAUCUAAAUGAAACAUCAAAGCGAAAAAAAUAUUAAGGGGUUUAUUAUUUAGGAAUUUUAUUCCAGUGAAGCAGAAGAAUGAAAUUGGAGGCAAAAACAAGAAUCUUAGUAUUCAUUUUGAUUCCCUUAAUAAUCAUCAUCCUAACAUAUGAUUGCACCUUGACCCCAGCAUUCAAAUGUAUAAAGUCAGAGUAAGGACGAAAUGAGAGCUUGUGCUUUAAAAUGAUAAUCCAGAUGUUUAUUAGGUGAUAUUUAUGAGGAAUACAUUCAUUGUCUGACCUACCCAUGCUCUACCACAACUGGGAUAGAAAAUUCACACUGGCAGAUCAAUGUGUGAGGAAGUCAUGCAUGGCAUCAGAUGUUUGGUGGAUAGGCUUGGCUUUUUAGUUAGUUUGAAUCCCAAAGGUGGAUCCAAAAACUGUUAUCAUUCACUAUUCGACAUUUGACAAGAGGGAGGGAAAAAAUGUUGGAGAGGAGAGGGACCGUUGAGAUGGUAUCCCAAGCAAUUUCAUAGAUCGUUCAGGCACCAGAGAAGGAAGAACCCGUGGUGCAUAAAUAUUGAGUGAAGCUACGGGUAACCUUCACCUAAACAUAGUGGGAUCAAUCCCUAGUAGCUUAGUGCUUGAUUCUUAGUAAAGUUAAAACAACAAAGCAAUGAAAUGAAAAGGAGGUUAAUUUGUGUAUAACUUGCCCUAAUUUCAACAGAAACUAGCCACUCAAUUUGUAGAUUUUCAACUAAAAUGAUAUAUAUUUUCCUCUAACUCAAAAUGAUAUUAAACAUUAGACAUCCAUAUAAUUUGUAUAAAAUCCAGAAAAAGUACAAAAAAUGGAAGAUAUUAAGAUUCCAUCUGCGACAAAUAUCAAAAGAAAAGACUUGUCCUCAAAAGGGUAGCCAAUAAUGGGCCUUUACCAACCAUCGGGUUCUUUCAACAAAAAUUUGAAACUAAAAGAUGAUUGACAGCAAUUAGAGCUUAUGUGCAGUCAAGAUAAGAAUACCUGAAUUGGCCCAGCAGCAGUAAGGGGUCCACCAACUCCACCUCCAAUGAUUUGACCAUCAGUACUAGACAGACAUACACUUAGUCCUCCAGUUCUUCCUCCAAGUUCAGUGCGUACAUAAGAUCCACAGAGGGAAAGGAUGUCAAAUCGCCCCUACAUCAAAGCAUGCCACAAUAGAGUUAGAUAUAUAAGGUAAUUAAAAUACAAAGAACCAUAGAAACCUCUAUCCAAAAUGAUCAUCUUCUCCAGCUAUAACAAUUUCAAGUUAGCUAUUUUCAAAACAAGUAGAAAUAAGCUGAGUAAGCAAUCAGAAGGGAAACUCAUGAUGUUCUCCUGAAGUCUUCCCCUAGUUAAACGGUAGUUGCUGCUCAUAACAUAAUUUAGUGGUAUGCAUUCACAAAUCUCUACCUCAUAAGUGAUAUUGCCUCCAGAAGUAGCCGGCUGACGUAGAGAUGCAUUAGAUAUAGAACCAGAUGCUGAGAGAAUGCAUAUUUCACGUUUGCUUUGUUGCAUGAACAACAUUAUUUUCUGACCUACAUCCUGUCAAAUGCAACAAUACACCACUGUGGAACUUCUGAACAAGUAAAACAGCUUGCAAUCUUAUGCAUCUAAACAGCAAUUCCAGGAAAUAAUUUUACAAAAAUAAAUGAGACAACCGUCAAACACAAGAUCAAGCAAUUGAAAGAAAUCAGCUAAAUAAAAUGGGAAGGAGAAGCUAUGAUAUAAGGCUUCUUUAGAAACUCUUGCAUAAAGAUGCCUAAUGUCAGUAGACACUGUUUCUGCUACAAGAUAAUAAGACAAUUGCAAACAUCUCAGCCAGCAGAAGAUGAAACAGGCCCUAAUUGAAUAAUUGAAAUCAAGACGAGAGCAUCCAAGGUCAAGUUUACACAAAUCCCAAGGUUGAUUAAAUGUGGGCUGCCCCCUCUUAAGCAAUAAUUACAACAAUAUCUAAAGAAGCCUCCUUUAACCUUUUUUGUUUUCACUUCGUUUCUUUUUUCCCCUUUUGAGUUAGUACACUGGAUAUUUAGAGAAGAUGGUGGGAAAAGUGAUCAACAUUUUUUAGGGUUACUGGUGAAUCAUUUUUACCAGACUCAAAUGUGUAUAUACACAAACCUGCAGUUCCUAGAGCUCUUAUUCAAAAGUUGUAUAUAGGAAGUUAAUAAGGAUGAGAGAAACAUGACCUUAAUUAGUGUCCUGUGAAAAAAAUUCAGUUAGAACCUGAACAGAUCUAGAUCUGCAAGUUGAAGUUAAUGGUAGUGCUAAUAGCAUGUAUUUAUUUUCUAAACUAAAUGAUGAAUGCAAUUGAGAAAGUGAUUUUACUCUAACUUAACUAAUAAAUGCAAUUGAAAUAGUCAUUUUACGUUCAUCCUGUGCAACGACUAACAUUGUCUAUCCAAAUGCAGUAAUCAUACACCAUAAAUCCAGACACUAAAUAGAAGAUCACUCAAUUACUAACCAGAAACUGGAAACAAAGAGAAACUUAACUUGCAAAGGAUUAUACCUUCUUCUUUAGGAAAAGAUAAAAGAAUAAUGAGGAACCAGUUUUACAGGUCUAGACAACACAAAUCCAACAGGUAUGUUGCACAAUAUAUAAGCAGCAGAGAAUAAUAUUAUUUGUUUAAGUAGGUGAUGGGAAGAGAAAACAUACUUCUCCAGCAGCCACAGUUAUGACAUGAGGUAUAAAAGAUUGACCAGUACUACCUGCAUCAACAGCAGGAAAGCAGGACAAGUGGGUAAGUGGUAAUCAAGUUCUAAUUAAAUUAAUUAAAAAAUGAAGCUUAACCUACAAUGGAGUAGCUAUAAGCAAAUAAAAGAACCAGAGGAAACAAAAUCACAUUUAAACAGCUGAUGAUCAAAGAAGAUAACCACAUACAUACCUAUGUUACAUGGGCUUGGGUGCAGGUGUCAGAUAUGGGUGCGUGUCAAAGUGUCAGAUUCAAAUAUUUGAAAAUUGUAAGAUUCGGGAAUAUGUGUCUAAUUUUGGGUAUGGGUGUGGAUAAGAUCUUUAGAUAUAAAUCAUUCUAAAAUUUAUGCACAAUGAUGUAUCAAGUGUAUUUUAAUAAAAAGUUCAAUUAAAUGUGCAAAAUUAGGUUGAAAAGAACCAUAAGCUUAGUUAGAAAGGUAAAUUUUUUAAAUAUGAGAGGCUGCAUUUAUAUUAAAAAGGGAAAACUUGUAAAGAAAUUAAGUUGUUGAAAAAGAUAAUUAAAGUCAAAAUACAGGGAUUUAGUUGCAAAAUAAAUAUCAUUGUCAAAUCCUAUCUUCCUCAUCGCUCAAUCAGCACUGCCGUCACCUCAUUUACAAAGCGUUCAAGCGAAUCAAAACAGAGCACCUCUUCUCAAAUUAACCAAGACGCUCUUACACUUAUAUGCCAUCAUUACCACAAUUCCACACCCUCCAAUGAAAGAGAGUUAGCAGCCCAUACAUUCGAAGCAAAAAUACAGCAGGUGUCGUGAGUUUUUUCCUUUUCAAUUCUCUAGCAGUUCUCCUCCCCAGAGCCACCCUUCUUCCUCUUCCACUCUCUUCCCAUCUCAUGUCACUUCUUGUCCAUCUCUCCUUCUCCUCCGCCAUCAACAUCACAUCUCACACAUCUCACAAAAGUCAAUGCAUCCAAAAAAUUUUUACCAUAUCAGGUACGGAUUCCGUACCCAUACCCGUGUCAUAUCGUGUCGACACGGGUGCACCUGGGGUGAAUGACGAGUCCGGAUAACAUCGGUACAAACCCUAUGCAGCUAAAAGCAAGAGAGCUGAAUACCACAUCAAAUUUGUGACGCUGAUACCAGUUGUGUAUGGCACCAUGUGAAUGUCUCUUGACAAGAGAAGCUAGAAUGCAAGUGCUCAGUAUUCCUUUUAUAGGAAGAAAACUAGGAAAUCCUACCAAUUUUUCAGAUGAGCGUGAAAAUAUACAGUUUUCAGCUUAUGUACAGAAUUUCCUAUGGACAAUACACCAAAUGAAUUUAUACUAGUAAUCAACUUCAAGCAUCAAGUAAUACAAGAAAUCAACAAAAAGUAUGUUUCCAAAUUAGAACAAAAAUUAUUAUAUCAAUUUUCUACUCAAAUUAGAACAAAAAUUAUGUUUCCAUACUUUUGGUGUCAAUUGAACAGCAGCAUUUAAGACUUCCUCCACAAUAUUUUAAUUCCCACUCGUACCUAGAGAAGCAGCUAAGAAUAGACGGACUGGAAAAUAACAAUAAGUGUGAGAUUACUGCAUCUUUUGAGGAAGAGAUAAUGCCGGCAAUCAGAAUCUCAAACCCCUCUUUCACCUCACACUUAGAUAAAAGUAUUACUACAUCCAACACCCAAUCUGCACAACGCCACCAGUUAUGGGGCCAUUGUAGAAACCCAUAUAAAGACUUUCAAACAUCCUGCAAACUUUGUUCUGCAUCUUUUUAAAUCUAAAACUGAGGGAAUAACAAUGCACUGCAUAAUCUACAGAAACAUCUUUUAUCAACCUACAAUUGAUUAGGUUCCAUCAGAUAUGUAGAGUCCCACUCCUAAGCUCUUUAUCAUGCAUGAAUCAUUCCAAUAAACACUCAGUGAUCUGCCAAAAACAUGUGACCAUUGACCAUUGCAUAAAUUUGCUUUCACUCAGGUCCUCUAACAGUCCUUACUAUACCCACAAGCAAAAUUCAUGUAUAGCAACUCAUGCGGUCCAAAGCCUUAAAAAAAAUGAAAAUAGACACUACAAUAGUUGAUAAAGCAAUUUGGUACAGGUAGUUACAGCAUGUCCCAGCCCAAAUUCCAAGUUUAUCAUAAAUUAGCUAUGGGAAGUAAUGGAGAGAGAGAGAGAGAGAGAGAGGCAAGGGGGGGGGGGGGGGAAGGGAAGGUGGACAAGUCUUGCAGCCACUGCAACAUAGAAUACUACUAUAUACUACCAACGGGUCCUACAAGCAAAAUACAAAUUAAAUACCAGCCAAAAAACACUAUAGUUUUCUAUUACUUCUAGAAUUUAGAAAACUAGACAUAUAAGACAGCCUGCUUGAUUUCUACAGUUCAUAUAUCAAACAGCAGUAAGGCACGAGUUUUGAACAAAUAAUCCACCAAUAAGUGAAGGGUUUCUUCGUCCACAGAGUUCCAAUGCAAUUCCAAAACAAGCACCGAAAGGACAAAUUAAAGGGCCUCGUUAAUUUCCCAAAAUUCAUCUAUAAAAUGCAGUAAAGGUAUAAAUAAUAUAAACCGAAAAAAAAUCACAUAUAUAAAGGGUUCCUUCCCCUUUUGUCUUUUUCUUUCUUCUUUUUUUUUUCUUUAGGAGAUUAUUACCAGAAGCGGCUAACUGGUACUUCUUAGAAGAAGCCGAAGAAGUAGACCCGCCACCGCCACCGCCAAAACCCAAGUCCUUUUUCUUCGGCGGAGAAAUUGAAGCCGCAGUAGAAGCCGAAGAGAGCCGCUUAGCAGCCGCGGCUUCACCAGGGGUCCCAUACUUUCUAGGCCUUCCUCUCUUCCUCUUCCCAGAAUCCAAUCCGGCACCACCAGACGUCACCACGGAGGGGACAGUCCCAUAAACCAACGGCGAAGAAGUUGUAGUGGUGGUGCUGGCAGCGGGAUUAGAAGUAUUCGGCAGAAUUCCAUUGGUGGGAGAGGUGUUUGAUCCCACGGCGGUGGUAGGGGCGGUGGGGUUGAGAGGUGAGGGUGGUGGUGGCUGUUGAGGGUGGUGAAAGUAAGAGCUCAGUUCACUACUUUCAUUAGGGUCCAUGAUAGUGCGUGUAGUGUGUGAGAUUUUGGAUUUGGGAAAUUUUUUAUUUUCUUUUCUUUUUUCCUGAUGAUUUUUGAGGUAUUUGUUUUAUUUUAGGGCUUUAUUGUUUUCGGGAAAUUUGUGCCUUUUGAACCGUUGAUUGUGGGGUUGGUGGUUUUUCUCAGCCGUUGGAUGCCGAGGAAGUUAUUUGACUUUAUCCGGAGACCUUUCUAGGUAUUGGAAUUGGGAUUUGAUAUGUCUACUGUAGAUUUGCCUGACGAUGGGGAUAUGUAUGGAUUUAAUGUGGAUAAACACGUUUAAAUCUUUUUCUUUUUCUUUUUCUUAUAUAUAUAUUUUAAGCUAAAGUUUGAGACCUUCUUAUUAGUUUGGGGAACAAGAAAACAAAAAAGAUUAGCCUGACAAGUUCGAAGUUUUUUUUUCCCUCAAAAGUAAAUAUUAGGUAUUUCAUUAUGUUCUCGAAUUGAUAAACUAUAUUAUAUAUAUACCUUACACGUAAGAACUUUGAUUAUCCAUGUGUCCAGUCACCAACCAGCUUUGAAAUUGUUUGUUUAUUUGGAAGAAAAAUAUUAUUUUGAGGAUGAAAGCGACAGAAACCUUCAAUAGUUAGGGAUUAAUUUUUGUUUUCUAAAUUUUUUCAAAUGAUGAUAGAUAAGAUGUUUAGUUAAAAACAUAUAGAAUUCAAAGGUCGAGACAAGUCCAAUUGAUUCCUUUCUAAAUUUUCAUAAGAUUACUACAAAAUCACUCGACUUUGAGGUGUCAAUAUAUCACUCUGUUCUUCGGACGGUAUGCAUAUUUGUGCCGAUUCUAGGAAUCUUUAUUCACAUUAGAAAAAGCAAGCAGUAAUUUGUGCAGACGAGAUAAGUAUUACCCCCUUAAUUUAACAAAAAAUUACCGCAAUUGAACUGUCAAAUUCCACGAAUUAUCAAAGAAGUUAACUUCCUUUCAUUCACUAACAGUUGCUUAUUCAUUUGUCUGUCCAAAUGGAGACUCCAAAAGUAACUUCAAAUUGCUCAAAGGAAAGAAUGGCAUCAAUCUUGCUUAGACAGAUACAAGGAGGGAUAAAGUCAUGUGAAUUAGUAGUAGAUGGCAAUCAUAAGGAUCCAACAUGGGACAGGAUACAAUUUCAAGUGGGAAAUGGGGCAGGGACGUCCCUUCACCGUUAAUGGUCCUGAUUUGGUCUCAAAAAUUUGUGCGGCUGAGAUUACAAGUUGUAACUCGAUUUUCACGUCACGUGUGGGUCCCAUAAAAAUUUGCUUUAAAGUUACGCAAUGUGCACAAAAAGUUACAUAAUGUACAAAGAAAAUUACGCGCAGUUGAUAAUGACCAAAACCGCCGGGGAUUUGUAAAAGUGGUAUUUGUAAAAGUGCCCCGAGUCCUUUCAAGUGGUAUUUGUAAAAGCCACAGUGGUCCAUCUGUAUUGGAAUUCGUCAUUACGCGAGGCUGAUUAUAAACGUUAUUAGCCAGCCUCGAAUCUAUUUCAGACACGUCAAGUUUUCCCCUGUGCCAAUUGAUUUGAUUGUCAUCAAAUUCUCAUUCAAAACCCUUUUUUUUUUUUCCCCAACCUAAUCCAUCCUAAAACGUAGAGGAAGAGGAAUUUAAAGAGGCUAUGGAUGAUAUGAAAACUUGUCUAAAUCAAAGAAAUAUUCUGACACCUUUUUAAUUUCUCAAAACUUGUGGGCGCCCCUUUAUGUCUCUUGUCAGCACGGUAAUCCUCCCCUAAUCAUUGCUAAAAUACUUUAAUUCUUACGUUACCCCGAAGGUGCGAGCAACCGUACUGUUGAUAAUGGUUUGGGUGGUUGAAGGCUCAUCAUCUUCCAUGGACUAUCAUGGCCGUUGAGUACCAAGUGUAGGUCAAUCGAAUGAAACGCAACACCACAGAAGCCAUGAGCUGAUGGUUUCAACUCAGCAAAAGUGGCCUCUGAUGGUGACUAUUGAACUCUUUAAGGGAAGACGCUUCUUGUCGCGAAAUUUUUUGAAGCAUAAUUAAUACAGGGUUCAAGAAUCGGAAGGAGGACUGAUCUCCGGUAAGCCUCAGGAGUGCAGUGCUGGAGAAGUGGUAUAGACAAAAUUGAUGGACCGAGUCAAGGUGAUACAUGUCAGUAGCUUUGCUUGCCAUAUUUCCAGUUAGCAGACAAACCGAUGCAGCAAUGAUCUCUCACAGAUCACAGUAGAUAAGAGAUGAAUAAAAUAGAACUAAGAAACCGGCAUACACAUCACACUGUUUUACGAAAUAGAUCCAUUACAGAUACAUGUACACUCCUCACAAACUGUUAAAUUUUGUUGCACUUUCUCAAGUAUCUUCUUUUGAAACUCCCUCCUCAAUCAUCUGUUUGGAAGAGCCCUCUGCAUGUGAGUUCUUCAAUUCUUCCAGCU